GAUGAACGCUGGCGGCGUGCCUAAUACAUGCAAGUCGAGCGAACAGACGAGGAGCUUGCUCCUCUGACGUUAGCGGCGGACGGGUGAGUAACACGUGGAUAACCUACCUAUAAGACUGGGAUAACUUCGGGAAACCGGAGCUAAUACCGGAUAAUAUAUUGAACCGCAUGGUUCAAUAGUGAAAGACGGUUUUGCUGUCACUUAUAGAUGGAUCCGCGCCGCAUUAGCUAGUUGGUAAGGUAACGGCUUACCAAGGCAACGCUGCGUAGCCGACCUGAGAGGGUGGUCGGCCACACUGGAACUGAGACACGGUCCAGACUCCUACGGGAGGCAGCAGUAGGGAAUCUUCCGCAAUGGGCGAAAGCUUGACGGAGCAACGCCGCGUGAGUGAUGAAGGUCUUCGGAUCGUAAAACUCUGUUAUUAGGGAAGAACAAAUGUGUAAGUAACUAUGCACGUCUUGACGGUACCUAAUCAGAAAGCCACGGCUAACUACGUG
rnacentral:rRNA from 1 species